UUUCGAUGCAAACGCAACAACAACGAUAUGAUCCUGAUAGAUGUCUGGUUCAGUUUAUGAUCCGCUCUGUUUGUUUUGUUUCACUAAUAAUUUGGCAAUAUGGUUUGGUAGCACUGACAAAUGAAUGUAUACACAAAGAGAUAUUCUGCCAUUGUUUCUUUUAAUUUGUUUCAAAUAAAUCGCCUUAAUGUUAAAUAUUUAUUUAAUUGAAUAUUAU